rnacentral:misc_RNA from 1 species
AUCCGCUAAAUGGUCCUU